UAAGGUGAGCGGGAUAACUCUCGUUAAGGAACUCUGCAAGUUGACCCCGUAACUUAGGGAGAAGGGGUGCCACUGCGGUGAAGUCAAUGCUGGCGGAGCCGCGAGUGGUCGCAGAAACCAGGCUCAGGCGACUGUUUACUAAAAACACAGGACUCUGCAUAAGGCGCAAGCCGAAGUAUAGGGUCUGACACCUGCCCGGUGCUGGAAGGUUAAAGGGAGAGGUUAGUCGCAAGGCGAAGCUUUGAACUGAAGCCCCAGUAAACGGCGGCCGUAACUAUAACGGUCCUAAGGUAGCGAAAUUCCUUGUCGGGUAAGUUCCGACCUGCACGAAUGGUGUAACGAUCUGAGCGCUGUCUCGACGGGAGACCCGGUGAAUUUGUGGUUCUGGUAAAGACACCAGAUACCUGUGGUGGGACGGAAAGACCCCAUGGAGCUUUACUGUAACCUGAUACUGGAUUUUGGCAUGUCAUGCACAGGAUAGGUGGGAGACAUUGAAGCCAUGACUUUGGUUGUGGUGGAGUCGACGUUGGGAUACCACCCUUGAGAUGCCGGAAUUCUAACCGCAGCGUCUGAAUCGACGAGCGGGACACUGUCAGGCGGGCAGUUUGACUGGGGCGGUCGCCUCCUAAAGAGUAACGGAGGCGCGCAAAGGUCACCUCUGGGCGGAUGGAAAUCGCCCGUGCGAGCGCAAGUGUAUAAGGUGGCCUGACUGUGAGACUGACAAGUCGAGCAGGGACGAAAGUCGGUACUAGUGAUCCGGCGGUUCCGAAUGGAAGGGCCGUCGCUCAACGGAUAAAAGCUACCCUGGGGAUAACAGGCUGAUCCUGCCCGAGAGUUCCUAUCGACGGCAGGGUUUGGCACCUCGAUGUCGGCUCAUCGCAUCCUGGGGCUGUAGCAGGUCCCAAGGGUUGGUCUGUUCGCCCAUUAAAGCGGUACGUGAGCUGGGUUUAGAACGUCGUGAGACAGUUCGGUCCCUAUCCACCACGGGCGUAGGGUAUUUGAGGAGAGCUGCUCCUAGUACGAGAGGACCGGAGUGGACGAACCGCUGGUGUAUCGGUUGUGCUGCCAAGUGCAUACGCCGAGUAGCUAUGUUCGGAACGGAUAACCGCUGAAGGCAUCUAAGCGGGAAGCCGCCUUCAAGAUGAGAUACCCCAUUCCCGAGAGGGAAGUAAGGCGUCCCGGAGAACACGGGGGAGAUAGGCCGGAGGUGGAAGCGCUGAGAGGCGUGGAGCUGACCGGUACUAAUACGCCGAGGCCUUGCCCUC
rnacentral:rRNA from 1 species